ensembl:snRNA U6 U6 spliceosomal RNA
GUGCUCGCUUCAGCAGCACAUAUACUAAAAUUGGAACGACACAGAGAAGAUUAGCAUGUCCCCUGCACAAGGAUGACACGCAAAUUCGUGAAGCAUUCCAUAUUUAA